rnacentral:lncRNA from 1 species
GUUAUUAACCGUACGGGUGAUCAACGAAUAGUGUUGUGAAAGAAGGACGAAUAACUGACGUUAUCAUCGUCGUUUCUCUUAUUUUACAUUUUUGUGAUUUUUAUCAUUUGUGAAUAUUAGUAAUAAAAGUCUUUUUUGAAGUUAAUUGAGUGAUCAUCAACUUAGGUUAAACAUGAAUAAACAAGAUAACAUGCUGUGUGAUUUUUUUUAUGCCUUUACCAUACGAUGACAUUUUUCUGAUUUCGAUCUAAGAUGAAAUUGAUGAGUUAUAAAUCGUUCUCUUUAUCCUGGUAUUAUAACAGACAAUAAUUUAGCUAAGUAUGCGGCUCUUCAUUUUUUAUUCCAAUCAAAGACCGUAACACAUCCAAGAAAAAAAGUCCAUUACAGCAUCGGAUCUAUGCAUAUAAAUUUCAUUUUUCAAUGGGUUAACGAUAUAAAGAUUUCUUUUAACUAAUGUUUCCUUCAUAGAGAGUCUAUGUGAAUUAUUAUGCGAAUAAAAUGCAGCCGCAGUUACAAGGAAUAAUCAAUACCAGAAUCUGUUAAAAGGUUUUCAAUUAUUUUACUGGAAGAAAAAGUAUGUAACUUCCAACAACGAUG